GAGGAAUCUGACAGGACAGGACAGCGGACCAUGGAAUAAAGGGAACCGGGAAGGAGGUGGGCAGGAAAAAGAGGGGAGGGGUUACUGGACCUUAGGUUGAUGCUGUCAGGUUGGAGACCCCCAAGGCGGAACAUGAGGUGUUGCUCCUCCAACCUGCGUCUGACCUCAACGUGGCAGUAGAUGAGGGUCUCUCCUACCAGAGUCGUCCUCCUCCAGCCCUCUGCCUCUUUCACCUGUCACCUCCCCCCUCACCUGGACUCACCUGUCACCUGCCCGCAUGUGCUCCUCCGCCUCCCCCACCUCCUUAUUCCGGCUUCUGCCCCCUUCCUCUCCAGUCCUGAUGAAGGGUCUCGGCCCAAAUUGUCAACUGUUUAUUUCCCUCCGCGGACGCUGCCUGACCUGCUGAAAUGUCGCCUGGUGUAUAAUUUGCUGUGUUCAAAAUUUGUGGUUUGAUUUACUGUGGGUGCACUUUGUUUACCCUCUGCACAGGAAACUAUGAUAUUGUGGUUAAAAUUAUUUAUAAAAUGAUUAUUUUGUAGAUACUAUUAAAAUGUAUUAUCUUUGUGAAAUGUUGCAUUGAGUCUGUGCAGUGUGUGUGCCAGCCGUCACUGUGACAAGUCCUGUGUAUCAUGUGUACACAACUGUGUGUGAGCUGUGUACACAACUCGCACCCCACUCUGGGCCAACAUCCAGACUUGGACAGGUAAAUAUUCCGAUAUCACAAUCCAGAGAUAUUCUGCACACACUGUUGCUGGAUCGGUUGGGACUGUGCCUCAGCCUCCGUGUUCCUGACUGCCUGUUACCAGUCUGCCCCAGUGCUGUGUUCGGAUCCACUCAUUCUCUGCUCUGUCUCAGCAGUGGGGAGGGACGUUUAUUGUAUUCUUUGAAUAUAUGAUGAUGAGAAUUUUUAAAGUUUAAUACUUUGUGAAAAGUGAGAAAAACUUGAAUCUACAAAUAAAAAUUAAAGUUAA